UCUACCCUGUUUUCAGACAAGGAAUAACACUAAGAUUUAUUUAUUUAUGCCAUCAUCGGUAUCUACAAACUUGCACUAGACAGCAGAGGCUGUAGCCAGGAUACCCAGCUCAACCUUCCACAACAUUUCAUAUUAUAAUUUAUGGCUGGCCUAGUUAUUUAAGCUUUCUUUUAUAGAGAAAGAAAAAAUGAUUAUAAGGGUGGUUUGAAGGGACAACGCUGGGUCUCCUGGCCAAAUUUAUGGCUAGACAGACUGAAAGCCUUUGGAGAUGGCCAGCCAGUUAGGCGUGUACAAGAGUUAUCUCACCUUCUUUUUUGCCUCCAGCGGUGAGUUAAGGGGCCAUUAAUUCAUACUGUAUAUUUUACCGUGGUCACUCACAAACAGAGUUGUUUGCCAUGGUAUAGACAACCGCACCAAACUAAAUUGCUUAAAAAGGAUAACUAUCAUAACACAGGAACUCACAGUAGAGUACUAAACACAAAGUAAAAGGCUAAGAGUAUAAAAUAUCAAUUGUUUAAUAACAAUCUAUGAAGUUUUCUAUAAUGGAGGAUCAUUUGAGACUUAAUUAAUCAGCAUCAGAUAGUUUGUUGGGAAAGGUUGCUGAAUAUUGUUUCAUUAUUUAAAAAAAUGAACGCCGAGCGAAUGUAGAUUGAAGGUGGUUGUAUAUCUAGGUAGCUUGUGAGUGAAGUGCAGAAAAAUUAUAUUUCGAGCUAAAAAUGAUUCCUUCCUGACCAAUAUAGUGAAUUUCAAAAGGAAUAAUUGAAACAAGAACGUGUUGAAAUUUCAAUAAACACAUUGAAAAUGUGUAUGUACUUUUCAUGAAACAAUCGCAUAAUGGUGCCAUGGCGAAAAUUUAUCUCACGAAAUUUAAUUUCACUUUUCGAAAUUCUUCUUCAAUUCAAUUCAAUCUUGCAAAGUUUCUAUGAUUAAAGUAAGUAAGAUAUAUUCUAUCAUCUGAAUAUAUCUUCUCUCUGAAAAAGAUCUAGCAAAAUGGGAAAGUUGCUCCGUGAAAAAUUUAAAAAUAACAACAGCUAGCGAAAAGGACAACGACACCUUAUUUCAUGGGCAGAAGCAAUGCAUAUAAGGACAAACAAGAAACAAAGAAGGCAGAUAAUAAAAGGAGAAUUGAAUUACAUAGUAUGUAAAUCUGUGGAGACUCUGAUAAAAAUCAUAAAUGUUGAAAAUUAUAUUGUAUGGUAGUAAAACUUGAGAGCCAAUAUUGUUUAUGUAUAAAAUAGAAGUAGAGGGUUUAAAUUUUACAAUUUUUAAAGUUUUUAAAUUUUACAACGAAUGCUUGAUGCUGAAAUAUUUUGCUCAAUGUGUUUUUAUUUCUAAAUAUAUACAGUAUUAAGAUAUGGUUAUUAGAAUUAGGGAACAUACUAUAUUUUUAUCUCAAAAUAUACAGAUUUUUUUGGCUUGAUAUUCAAAAACAUUUUGUCUGUUGUUUUGAAUUUUGGAUAGUGAAACAAACUCCAAUACAUUUUUGUUGAUACAUGUUGUGUCAUCAUACUUUAUUUUCUACUUUUUCAUAUUUGAAGGAACACAUUCAAUUAGCAUUGGAUUUAUUGGCUACAAUGCCGCCAUCACAAAACAGUUCUCAACUAUGGGUAGACUUCAUGAAGUGUCAUCCCAAUGGAUGGAAAAUACCGGAAUUGAUGGAUUGUCGAUGAAAUUUAAAAGAGUUGUUCUGAUUGAAUUAGAGCUGUUGAAAAGAUGUGAAGAAGAAGUCGGCAUACUCAAAAAAGAAAUGUCUAGCUACUUGCUUCCUUUUUGCUGCUUGAAGAAACUCUUUACGUUAAGAUUUCAAUCAAGAA